rnacentral:rRNA from 1 species
UACGUAGGGGGCUAGCGUUGUCCGGAUUUACUGGGCGUAAAGCGCACGUAGGCGGCUUUGUAAGUUAGAGGUGAAAGCCCAGGGCUCAACCCUGGAAUUGCCUUUAAGACUGCAUCGCUUGAAGAUCGGAGAGGUAAGUGGAAUUCCGAGUGUAGAGGUGAAAUUCGUAGAUAUUCGGAAGAACACCAGUGGCGAAGGCGACUUACUGGACGAUUGUUGACGCUGAGGUGCGAAAGCGUGGGGAGCAAACAGG